UACGAAGGGGGCUAGCGUUGCUCGGAAUCACUGGGCGUAAAGCGCACGUAGGCGGCUUUCUAAGUCAGGGGUGAAAUCCUGGAGCUCAACUCCAGAACUGCCUUUGAUACUGGAGAGCUAGAGUCCGGAAGAGGUGAGUGGAACUGCGAGUGUAGAGGUGAAAUUCGUAGAUAUUCGCAAGAACACCAGUGGCGAAGGCGGCUCACUGGUCCGGUACUGACGCUGAGGUGCGAAAAGCGUGGGGGAGCAAACAGGGAU
rnacentral:rRNA from 1 species